rnacentral:tRNA from 1 species
GGCAAGGUGGCUCAGUGGUAGAGUGCUUGCCUUGCAUGCAUGAGGCCCUGGGUUUGAUUCCUCAGUACCA